UGCAAUUACCAUAUAUAUACAGUAAAAUAUACACAUGACUAUCUCCAAUCAACUCGCAUAGUCACCCCUCUCUCCUCCUCGACCUAAAAUUUUCUCUCUCGCUUAACAACACAAAGCGGCCGUCAAGUUUGUGACCGGCGCGUGGCGGCUCAGUUAGCGCCGGCGUCGGUCAUUUCCGUCGAUUUAUUGCUUAGUUUUUCAAUUCUGUCUUUUCCUAGGAAGUGUGGAAGCUUUCGACGUUGCUCCUUAGCCUUGAAGUGGAGUCUCGGCUAGCUUCUGCUAUGACCGGUGGUUCAUUUCCUUGAGUCAUUGCCUCCCGUGGAGGUUUUGGCGUUCCUUUUCGACGGCUCGUUUUUCUUCUUACCUCGAUGAAUCUGUGCAACAUCAGAAUAAUUCCUUGUUAACUUCCGUAUCUCCCUCGUCUCUACUGUCUUCCUGGUUGCAGUCUAGUUUAUGACUUUUGUUUUGUUGUCAAGGUUGUAGUCAUAGUUUAGCUCUUGAUCUCGAGGAAGUUACGGCCAGGUCUUUGUCUAGCUUAGGAUAGCUUUCGCUUACCUCCUCUAUGUUCGCUGAAUCUUUAAACUAAGUCUCUUACCACCGCUUUAGUUUAGAAAAUAAUUAAGUCUUCUUCCGUGGUCUGUUCCUUGUCUGUUCUUGUAAGGCUAACCUCUUGUAGCAAUGUCUUUUGUGGGGAUGCAAAGUCCUAGAUGUAGAUUCUCGGUAAAGAUUAGGUGGGUAGGAAUUAGAUUCGCUUUCUUUGCUUACUUUGUUCGAGGUAUCUUGUUAGAGUUUUUCUCUUGGCUUUGUUGUUUUAAUUUGUGUUUUGGCUUUGUUGUUUUAAUUUGUGUUUCCUGUGUAUGGGGCUUAAGUUUCGAGGGAUAUUUCUGUUUUUUGCCGGCUUUAGGAUAUCAUUUAGGAUAUCAAAACCGUAUUCCAGCCCUGUAUUCUAUCCUUCUAUUAUAUGAUGAAAAUGUUUAACUGAAAAAAAAAAUCUCCAAUCAAAUUAUUAUUAUUUUUUUCAA